GGAAGGAUGACGUGAUGGGCCCUGUGGAAUCUGCAAGAACUCUGGAAGCCAGCUUGUACCCUGUCCAUUCCCAGGACGGGCUAUGUGAGAGGAGACAGAGAACUGAAGAACAGGCCUGGAAGUGCCUUCCUGUGCACUUAGCAGGCUGAGAUGGGAAGACUUGAGUUUCAGGCCAGCCUCAACUACCUAGCAUGAUCCUGUCUAAAAACAAAAGCAAAUCCCCCAUACUGAGAAACAGUGGAGUGUGUGAGGCCUGCAGUGAGGCAAGACAUCAUGAUCAGAACAUACGGUGAGGCAAAACCACUCAUCUCAUCAGCCAGGGAACAGAGGCCAAGAUGAAAGGACCGGUGUCACCACAAUCACCAGUGGGGACACAUCAAAUGACUCAGAAUCCUCUCACAAGACCCAGGUUCACAAAGGCCCCACCCCCUGGAGACUUUGAGGGAACACACAGCAAACCACAGCACUCCAAACCUGAAUGAGCCCCUCUUGGGCCUAGGGCUUCCUUCCCACAGCUCAGACUGGACCACACUGCACCACCAGAGAAGUCAGUGUUCAGUAGUUUACAACCAAUGCGCUGUAACUGGCAUACCGGAAACCCUGGCGUCUCCCCUUAACGUAAAGCCAGCAUUAUCUGAGUCAAACUGUGGAAAGCAGGCAUCAGCCCAGAUUAAGACCAAGGAGGGAGCUGGAUCCGGGGCAGGCUCCAGAGAGAAAGGACAAUAACCUGGACUGUGAGAAGCAAUGGGCUGCAGCAUGGGAGGAAGAAGUCCACUGUGACACUCCUCAAAGCCACUACUGGGGAGGGUCCAAUCUGAGGGCCAGGGUAGAGAGCAUCAGCCUGCAGCUGGAGCUGGAGGAGACUUCCAGCCUGUCUCCAGCUUCACAGGGUCCAGCUAGCAAGCUGUGGAAUGCAGUCAGAAAGUCUUGGAAUUCAAUGCGUUCAGUGCUUCCUGGGGUCAUUUCAAACCUCAAGCACUUCAUCAUAGGGUCACACCAUGGUGUGCUUACAUGUCCAUCAGCUAGCUCAUAAAGUGGAUUGUUUUCUUUUUUGGUUAUUAUAACUAAUGAUGGUAUAACCAUCCAUGUCUAUGUCUUUGAGUAGAUCUUCUAUUGCUCUUGGGUUGCUUUUUGUUUUUGGUUUUUUGAGACAGGGUUUCUCUGUAGCUUUGGAGACUGUCCUGAAACUCACUCUUGUAGACCAGGCUGGUCUCGAACUCACAGAGAUCCACCUGCCUCUGCCUCCUGAGUGCUGGGAUUAAAGACAUGUGCCACCACCAUCCAGCUUGGGUUGAAUUCUAAAGGUAACCUGAGUGUGAGGAUGCAUACCUGCAAUAUCCUUAUUCAGAAAACAGAGGCAGGUGGAUUACCAUGAGUUCUAGGCCAGCCUGAGCUAUAAAUAGUAGACUGUACCUCAAAAAAAGAAGAAAAAAGUCUAGCAAGCCACAAUGACACAUACCUAUAAUCUCAGCACUGGGCCUCUGUAAGGAUGAGUUUUCUGGCAUGGCAGGUCCUGUGGCCUUUGAGCCCCAAAUGAACACACAAGACUUAUAUUAAUUGUGAAACUGUUAGCCGAUGACUAGGGCUUCUUAUUGGCUAGCUCUGUCUUAAUUGUUAACCCGUUUCUAUCAAUCUACACAUUGCCACAAGGCUGUGGCUUACCCGGUACUGACCAGCAUCACAACAUCACAAUCUGUCUGGUGGGCUCACUCUGCCUACCUUUCCCAGAAUCCUCCUCCUCUCCUAGCCCCACCUAUCUACCUGCCUGGCCAAUCAGUGUUUUAUUCAUCAACCAAUAAGAGAAACAUACACAGAAUAACAUCUUCCAUCAGGAGUUCAGGGUCACCUUGGCUACACAGAGUCAGAGACCAGUCUGGGCUACUUUAGCA
ensembl:lncRNA